GACGAACGCUGGCGGCGUGCCUAAUACAUGCAAGUUGAGCGCUGAAGGUUGGUACUUGUACCCACUGGAUGAGCAGCGAACGGGUGAGUAACGCGUGGGGAAUCUGCCUUUGAGCGGGGGACAACAUUUGGAAACGAAUGCUAAUACCGCAUAAAAACUUUAAACACAAGUUUUAAGUUUGAAAGAUGCAAUUGCAUCACUCAAAGAUGAUCCCGCGUUGUAUUAGCUAGUUGGUGAGGUAAAGGCUCACCACGGCCAUGAUACAGAGCCGACCUGAGAGGGUGAUCGGCCACAUUGGGACUGAGACACGGCCCAAACUCCUACGGGAGGCAGCAGUAGGGAAUCUUCGGCAAUGGACGAAAGUCUGACCGAGCAACGCCGCGUGAGUGCAGAAGGUUUUCGGAUCGUAAAACUCUGUUGGUAGAGAAGAACGUUGGUGAGAGUGGAAAGCUCAUCAAGUGACGGUAACUACCCAGAAAGGGACGGCUAACUACGUG
rnacentral:rRNA from 1 species